UACAGAGGGUGCGAGCGUUAAUCGGAAUUACUGGGCGUAAAGCGUGCGUAGACGGUUAUUUAAGUCGGAUGUGAAAGCCCCGGGCUCAACCUGGGAAUUGCAUUCAAGACUGAAUAGCUAGGGUACGGUAGAGGGAAGCGGAAUUUCCGGUGUAGCGGUGAAAUGCGUAGAUAUCGGAAGGAACAUCAGUGGCGAAAGCGGCUUCCUGGACCAGUACCGACGUUCAGGCACGAAAGCGUGGGGAGCAAACAGG
rnacentral:rRNA from 1 species